rnacentral:rRNA from 1 species
UACAGAGGUCUCAAGCGUUGUUCGGAUUCAUUGGGCGUAAAGGGUGCGUAGGCGGCGCGGUAAGUCGGGUGUGAAAUCUCGGAGCUUAACUCCGAAACUGCAUUCGAUACUGCCGUGCUUGAGGACUGGAGAGGAGACUGGAAUUUACGGUGUAGCGGUGAAAUGCGUAGAUAUCGUAAGGAAGACCAGUGGCGAAGGCGGGUCUCUGGACAGUUCCUGACGCUAAGGUGCGAAAGCGUGGGGAGCAAACAGG